AAACAAGGCUGAACAACUGCCGCAAACCUCCACUACGCUGCUGUCAGAUUCAUAUGAAGACAUUGCAUAAGGAAGAAGUCCCUUGUAGAUGCUGAAUAUGUCACCGUGAUAUCUCAGGGCCUCAAAUUCAAGCCGAGGUGUCAAUGUUAAGAGACACAUUCAUUUAUUGCAAUAGACUCUGCACACAGCACUAAUGCAUUUGAGCAAUGUGUGCACUGUGCACUGUCAGGAAGAUAGGAGAGCAGCAACUGAAAGACAAAAUGAGACCAGGCCAACUUCUGCCAAGACACGACAAACCCAGAGAGUGAAAAUCAUCUUAUCAGUACGAUAAGAAACAAAUAAAGGGAGACUGUCAAGAAUUACGGCUUUUUGUAUUCAGGUCGUGUCUUGUCACUAUAAAACAGAAGGAACACCAGUGGAGGCUCAGAGAGAGCGAGAGACAAGAGCGGCAGAGGGAGAAGGCGCAGCAUGACAGCAACCUGCUCUUGACAAACAGCAAGAACUUUCUCAAGCGGCCUCUCUGAAGUGCUUUAGGAUCAGCAACAUGCACCAGCUCACCACAGUAUCUUGAUGUCUCUGCUUAGAAAGCGAAGAAACUGGAGGGCUUGGAGAAAACCCAUGGAGGCACGGGGAGAACAUACAAAUGCCACACAGGCGAGGAUGGUAUCGAACCCAGGAUCUAAGAACUCUGAGGCCAACACUUUCCAGCUGUUCCACCAUCCUGCACUUUCAAAUGAUUAUUUCGACAAAGUUCAUAGGAGAUCACAAUGUCCCAUCAGAGUUAAACUCUUUUCAGAAUAGACUCAUAGGCUAUUAUAAUGUGGUCUUCAGGGGCUAGCCAGUUUACACAGGCACCACUGCUAUAAUAUCCGUGGCCACUUACCUCUGAGAACAUCAAUGUUUAAAGUGGAAGCUGUUGAUCAAUUGUUAGGUGUCACCUUGUCUCAUAUGUCUAAAUUCGACAGGCAUGAUGAAAAACCUCUUUGACAAAGUCUCUGCCUUUAUGGCAAUAAUAAACAAUAUUACAAAACUGUAGAAAAGAGAUAUCAGACUAUGAGUAUAAUGAUCUGUUUCUGGAAUGCAUUACAAAGCACCGAGAGAUGCCAGCUAUCUCAUAAUUUAUUACCAAGGCUUUCAUCUCUACUGCAUUGAGUCUGUAAGCCAUUUUUUUCUUAAUUUUCUCUAUUGGGUGUUUUGUUGCAGUUAAAAUACAAAUGUGUUUUUACAAAGUACAAUAUGCAGUAUGAAGCUGUUAACUUUAAUAGUUGAUAAGGUAAUUGGUCCUGGUGAGUGCAAAUUAAUGAUUUGUGAGUGCAAAUUAAUGAUUUGCAGCAAGUAAAUUAUUCCACUUAUUCAAAAGGCAAAGUGGUGAUAAGAGAACACCACGACUUGUCUAGCAGACCUUGGAAGUGAAAGAGUCGAGAUGAGCAUUUCAUGGAUGAUCUCAGAGAAAAGUUGGUGGUGGUGACAUAUGUUCAGGACUGCAUUGCUCAAGGUAGCGAGAAGAAAAAUGUGUAAAUUUAAUACACUUCCCCAUGGCUGCUCUGCUAUUCAUUACAUACAAGUCUGCCAAAUGUAAGCCCAAACACUGAUCCACUCGUCCUCUCUGGUCUGUGUUUGUGCUUCUCUUAUUGUGUAUUUUCAUCAGUCCCCUCUGGGUCCUACCCUUCAGUUUUUCACAAUAAUAUCACUGUGUCACUAAGUGUACAGUAGCUAAAGAGGAGGAAUUUAAUCCAAAAAGAGGAGAAAAGAUGGUGGAGGAGAGGUGGAUAACAAAUACUAAGUACAAUUUUUCCUGAAAGGUCAGGUUACACAUAGAAGGCAACCGUGCCGUUGAUCCCUCUCAUAACAUCGCUUUAUAUUCAUCUUCAGUUUCCGUUUGCACUUUGAGUUUUGGAGGUCACCUAUUUAUUUGGCAGUGGUGAAAGUUUAAGUCAUAUGACAUGGCAUGAAUCAUUGUUGAGUCACCUGCAAUCAUAAACAUCACUAAUAACAAUGGUCAUCAGAUGAAAACUAACCAGCUGGUCUUAUACUUCAAUCUGGUGCGUGAACUGACAUGAACAGGUAUUCCAAUGUGAGAGAAACAGAACAAAAAACUAUAGUUUUAAUGUCUAAUAGAAUUCCCUCCUUUUUGGUCAAGGAGGAUUAGUAUGGACUUUCAUGGUGUCAGCAAAUCUAGCACUUUUAAUGUAUGGAAUAGUGCACACCCACGCAUGUCUGUAAUAGUUCGGAGAGGAAUGAGGCUGCAAUAAAAGCAAUUUCCCCAGAAGCGAAAGCUUCCAUAAUUCUUCCAAGACAAAGCAUCUGGAAUAUUUGAGGAAAGAUGGGAAAAAAAACAGCAACAUGCUUAUUCACUGCAAUUGUGAUUUUUUUUCUAUAACCUUUCUUUUAAAAGAAUCUAUUAUGUAUUUUUGAGGGACUAGACAUUUAUCACAGAUGACAAGCACCAAGGCUUUUCUGUUGAUGGCAUUUUUUUCAACAUGGUAGAAAAACAUUUUGUACAUUUACAGUCAAUAGCAAGUAUACCUCUGUCCCUACCAAGUAUCGUUCUAUCUUGAUAUCCUUCUGUAGUACUAAUAUGCCAAUAUAUUGCAUGCACUUUCAAUAAGAGCUCCCAGUGCGAAUUCCAACCUGAAAAGUAUACACACAAAAAUGACUACCCGUUCUAAAUUUUCUUUUCCUUUGUCAGCCAUUUUCAGAUUUUUCUCCCUCAUUUCAAUUCAAUUUAUAGUCUAUACCGCUCUCUGAGUAUCUGUCUGGUCCGUGCCCAGUCAGUGAUUUCAGUAAAUACUGCCUUGUGAUGCAAAAUUAUUUGGCUGAAAGUGUUGGAGCUGCUUUGCUAUCUCAGGACCAGGACAUCUUGUUGUGAUUGAUGGAAUUCUCCUGUGUACCAGAAAAUACUGAAGGAAAAAGUCUGGCCAUCAGUUCGUGGCCUAAAACUCAAGCGCUCUUGGAUCAUGCAGCAGGAUAACCAUUCAAAAUACACCAGUAAGUCCACCUCUGAAUGACUCAAAAAAAAAAGAAAAUUACGCUUUUGGAGCGUUCUAGUCGAAGUCUGGAUUUAAAUCCAAUUGAGAUGUUGUAGUGUGACCUUAAACGGGCAGUUCAUAUUAGAAAACCCUCCAAUAUGGUGGAGUUGAAGCAAUUCCACAAAGAAGAGUGGGACAAAAUUUUCUCCAGAGUUUAUGUGAAAGACUCCUCACCAAUCAUGGCAAAUGCUUGAUUUCAGUUAUUGCUGGCAAGGGUGGCAUCACCUGUUAACAAGGGUUAGCAGGGGGCAAUUAC